rnacentral:rRNA from 1 species
GUGGGGAAUCUUAGACAAUGGGGGAAACCCUGAUCUAGCCAUGCCGCGUGAGCGAUGAAGGCCUUAGGGUUGUAAAGCUCUUUCAGAUGGGAAGAUAAUGACGGUACCAUCAGAAGAAGCCCCGGCUAACUCCGUGCCAGCAGCCGCGGUAAUACGGAGGGGGCUAGCGUUGUUCGGAAUUACUGGGCGUAAAGCGCACGUAGGCGGACCAGAAAGUCAGAGGUGAAAUCCCAGGGCUCAACCUUGGAACUGCCUUUGAAACUCCUGGUCUUGAGGUCGAGAGAGGUGAGUGGAAUUCCGAGUGUAGAGGUGAAAUUCGUAGAUAUUCGGAGGAACACCAGUGGCGAAGGCGGCUCACUGGCUCGAUACUGACGCUGAGGUGCGAAAGCGUGGGGAGCAAACAGGAUUAGAUACCCGUGUAGUCC